GGCUCCAUAGUGUAGUGGUUAGCACGUCUGCUUUACACACAGAAGGUCCUGGGUUCGCACCCCAGGUGGAGCCA
rfam:Pteropus alecto contig34131, whole genome shotgun sequence.